rnacentral:lncRNA from 1 species
GAGGAAGAGUGAAGCAAAUUUGUGAAAAUGAGAUUGCUAGAGUUUUUUGGAGAGAAGAUUUAAUAUUGAUUUAGGAUUUUCUAUGCUACUUCUUACAUUUUUUUUUUUUUUGUAUUGAUAUUUGAAGUGAAGUUAAAUCUUAUUGUGAGCUUUUGAGCAAGCUAUGGCACAUAAGAAAUGAAGCUCUUACGACGGAAAUCCAAGAAAAUUUGUAAAAAAGAGGUUGCUGGAGUUUUUAGGAGGGGAGAUUCAACACUUCUUUGGGAUUUUGUACACCACUUCUUGUAUUUUUGUCUUUUUAUGUUGAUAUUUUUAAAAAAACUAGAUCUAAUUAUGAAAUUUUCAAUAAGCCUUAGUACAUAAGAAAUAGAGCUUUGAUGAAUG